AGCAGCCGCGGUAAUUCCAGCUCCAAUAGCGUAUAUUAAAGUUGUUGCAGCUAAAAAGCUCGUAGUUGAAUUUCGGGAUCAAUACGUCGGUCGUGCUUCGGUACGUACUGGCGUCAUUGAUUUCUCCCUUCUGACGAACCAUGAUGUCAUUAACUUGGUGUCAUGGGAAAUCAGGACUGUUACUUUG
rnacentral:misc_RNA from 1 species